rnacentral:rRNA from 1 species
UACAGAGGUCUCAAGCGUUGUUCGGAUUCAUUGGGCGUAAAGGGCGCGUAGGCUGCGGGGCAAGUCGGGUGUGAAAUCUCAGAGCUCAACUCUGAAACUGCACUCGAUACUGCUUUGCUCGAGGACUGGAGAGGAGAUUGGAAUUCACGGUGUAGCAGUGAAAUGCGUAGAUAUCGUAAGGAAGACCAGUGGCGAAGGCGGGUCUCUGGACAGUUCCUGACGCUGAGGCACGAAGGCCAGGGGAGCAAACGGGG